rnacentral:tRNA from 1 species
UCCGAUAUAGUGUAACGGCUAACAUACCUCGUUUUCACCGAGGAGCUCGGGGUUCGAUUCCCCGUUUCGGAG